CUUGUCUCAAAGGGGUGCUAAGAUUCUUUCGGAAUGAUUGUUUCAAAGCUGAGAUUAUACCCAUAGAACCUAGAACAGGUAAUGCUGUUUAGGGAAUUGAAAAUAAUUUUUUC
rnacentral:ncRNA from 1 species